GCCUGGGUGGCUCAGUUGGUUGAGCACCCGACUUCAGCUUAGGUCAUGAUCUCAUGUCUUGUGGGUUCGAGCCCUGCAUCGGGCU
rnacentral:tRNA from 1 species